GAGGGUGUAGCUCAGUGGGAGAGCGCAUGCCUAGCAUGCGGGAGGUCCUGGGUUCAAUCCCCAGUGCCUCUA
rnacentral:tRNA from 1 species